AAAACCUUUUUAACAACCUGUCGUCACCUGAGGAACUUUCUGCUCCACUUCAUACAGGGUGCUUGGCUUUCAGUCUCCUUGCAGAAAAAUAACGGCUAUUAGGUGACAAGGUCUAACAGAAAAACACCACCCAGACAUGGGAAACCAGCAUGCCUGAAUCUGAUCCAAGCUGAUAAUGACCAAAGUGACUAUUCAAUGAAAAGGGAGUCUGGGAACUGAAUGGGACAGGAAGGACCUGUCAGCUACAAAGCAGCUCUCUGCAAGACUGAGAAAGCAUUUAAGGAGGAAAACCGGU